UCCUUUUCUCUUUUUGGAAAUCUACCUCUCAAGACUAUCCAGUGUGGGCUUUAAAGUCUAGAUUGAAACUCGGAACCGAGCUGUGAAACUGCCUUCCCUUUUCUUUUUUCCAGAAAUUCGCUGCAUUACUCAGUGCUCAUCAUGCUCUGGAGCCUGGAAGUCCAAGAUCAAGGUGCCAGCACAGUUGGUUUCCUCUGAGGCCCUUCUCCUUGGUGUGCAGGUGGCGGCCCUCUUACUUGUUCUUCAUUGGUCAUCUGUCUGUGCAUGUGGCCCUGGUGUCUCCCACUUUUCAUAGAAGUCUCCGGACCUUUCCCAGAUGGAAUUCCACAGGCAGUUUUUCUGAAUCUGACGGACUCGAAAGCAUCAGCUUGCUUCUUUCUCUGGAAGCCAGUUUUUUAAUCCUGGGUCGCAUGUCGCUUUUUUUUUUUUUUUUUUCUUUUCAUAACUAUUUUUUUUUCAAUUUAUUUAUUUUCAGAAAAACAUUAUUCAU